rnacentral:rRNA from 1 species
UACAGAGGGUGCAAGCGUUGUUCGGAAUCACUGGGCGUAAAGCGCGCGCAGGCGGAUGGAGCAAGUCUGGAGUGAAAUCUCGCCGCUCAACGGCGGGGCUGCUUUGGAUACUGCACGUCUAGGGACCGGUAGAGGCUGGUAGAAUUGCUGGUGUAGCGGUGGAAUGCGUAGAUAUCAGCAAGAAUACCCGUGGCGAAGGCGGCCAGCUGGGCCGGAUCCGACGCUGAGGCGCGAAAGCGUGGGGAGCAAACAGG